rnacentral:tRNA from 1 species
ACUACUUUGGCAGAAAUAUGUAUUAGAUUUAGGAUUUAAUUAAAUAGAGUUAUAUCUAUAGGUAGUAA